rnacentral:tRNA from 1 species
AUUUAAGUAGUUUAUUAAAAUUAUUGAUUUGUGGUGUCAAUGAUAUGAAUUAUUCAUCUUAGAUC